rnacentral:rRNA from 1 species
GACGAACGCUGGCGGCGUGCUUAACACAUGCAAGUCGAACGGAAAGGCCUGCUUUCCCUUGUGGAUUGCGGGUACUCGAGUGGCGAACGGGUGAGUAACACGUGAGUGAUCUGCCCCCAACUUGGGUAUAAGCCUGGGAAACUGGGUCUAAUUCCCGAUAGGACUGCAGGGUGGUGCCUGUGGUGGAAAACGAUUUUCUAGUGGUUGGGGAUGAGCUCGCGGCCUAUCAGCUUGUUGGUGGGGUAAUGGCCUACCAAGGCGGCGACGGGUAGCCGGCCUGAGAGGGUGGACGGCCACAUUGGGACUGAGAUACGGCCCAGACUCCGACGGGAGGCAGCAGUGGGGAAUAUUACACAAUGGGCGGAAGCCUGAUGCAGCGACGCCGCGUGGGGGAUGACGGCCUUCGGGUUGUAAACUCCUUUCGACCGCGAGGAAGCCACCUGGUUGGAAGGGUGGUGACGGUAGUGGUAGAGGAAGCACCGGCUAACUACGUG